AUUGAACGCUGGCGGCAGGCUUAACACAUGCAAGUCGAGCGGAUGAAGGGAGCUUGCUCCUGGAUUCAGCGGCGGACGGGUGAGUAAUGCCUAGGAAUCUGCCUGGUAGUGGGGGAUAACGUCCGGAAACGGGCGCUAAUACCGCAUACGUCCUGAGGGAGAAAGUGGGGGAUCUUCGGACCUCACGCUAUCAGAUGAGCCUAGGUCGGAUUAGCUAGUUGGUGGGGUAAAGGCCUACCAAGGCGACGAUCCGUAACUGGUCUGAGAGGAUGAUCAGUCACACUGGAACUGAGACACGGUCCAGACUCCUACGGGAGGCAGCAGUGGGGAAUAUUGGACAAUGGGCGAAAGCCUGAUCCAGCCAUGCCGCGUGUGUGAAGAAGGUCUUCGGAUUGUAAAGCACUUUAAGUUGGGAGGAAGGGCAGUAAGUUAAUACCUUGCUGUUUUGACGUUACCAACAGAAUAAGCACCGAA
rnacentral:rRNA from 1 species